rnacentral:rRNA from 1 species
GACGAACGCUGGCGGCGUGCUUAACACAUGCAAGUCGAACGGUGAAGCUCCAGCUUGCUGGAGUGGAUCAGUGGCGAACGGGUGAGUAACACGUGAGCAACCUGCCCCUGACUCUGGAAUAAGCGCUGGAAACGGCGUCUAAUACUGGAUACGAGAAGGGUCCGCAUGGGCACUUUCUGGACAGUUUUUCGGUUGGGGAUGGGCUCGCGGCUUAUCAGCUUGUUGGUGAGGUAAUGGCUCACCAAGGCGACGACGGGUAGCCGGCCUGAGAGGGCGACCGGCAACACUGGGACUGAGACACGGCCCAGAGUGCAACGGGAGGCAGCAGGGGGGAAUAUUGCACAAUGGGCGAAAGCCUGAGGCAGAGACGCCGGGUGAGGGAUGACGGCCUUCGGGGUGUAAACCGCUGUCAGCAGGGAAGAAGCGAAAGUGACGGUACCUGCAGAAGAAGCACCGGCUAACUACGUG